GGCUUUUCCACUGAGGUUCAGGACUUUUCCGGAAGUUACCGUGCUGUCAAAUCCCUCCGCCCCCUGCAGGAAACGGAAUCCUUCCGCAGCUGCACGACGCCUGUGUGUCUGGCCUUUCCUUCUUCUUCUCUUCCCCGGCAGCACAGUGUGGCUGUUUGUCUCCUUGCCCGCCAAAGUUCUGCCCAGUCCAACGACUCCACGCAGCUCGCCCUUGGACGCAGCAGCUCUCCUGAAUUACCAGCCAGUAUCGUCUAGCUACCUGCAGGACAUCUCACUUUGAUAACUCAAAGUACUUUAAUUGUUCACUGUUUCUUCAGUGUUCCUGGUUUCCAUUAAUGACUUCAUCUAUUCAGUUGCCUGAGCAAAAA
rnacentral:lncRNA from 10 species